rnacentral:pre_miRNA from 9 species
CCUCAAUAGCGUAAAAGUUAACUAAAAUUUGUAUGGAGUUGGAACGUUUGCCUACGUUUGUCGCUAAGGGCGCUGUUCCAACCGCAUACUAAUUUGAGUUAACCUAUCGA